rnacentral:rRNA from 1 species
GACGAACGCUGGCGGCGUGCUUAACACAUGCAAGUCGAACGGAAAGGCCCUGCUUUUGUGGGGUGCUCGAGUGGCGAACGGGUGAGUAACACGUGAGUAACCUGCCCUUGACUGUGGGAUAACUUCAGGAAACUGGGGCUAAUACCGGAUAGGAGCUCCUGCUGCAUGGUGGGGGUUGGAAAGUUUCGGCGGUUGGGGAUGGACUCGCGGCUUAUCAGCUUGUUGGUGGGGUAGUGGCUUACCAAGGCUUUGACGGGUAGCCGGCCUGAGAGGGUGACCGGCCACAUUGGGACUGAGAUACGGCGCAGACUCCUACGGGAGGCAGCAGUGGGGAAUAUUGCACAAUGGGCGGAAGCCUGAUGCAGCAACGCCGCGUGCGGGAUGACGGCCUUCGGGUUGUAAACCGCUUUCGCCUGUGACGAAGCGUGAGUGACGGUAAUGGGUAAAGAAGCACCGGCUAACUACGUG